GUGUAUUAAGAAAUAAUUUUUAUUAUCAUUAUUAUGUUUGUUAUAUGUUUUUUUUUUUAAACUUGUUGCUCUUACCGGACAUUUAAAACAAAUACAUGAAGACUUGUAGAAAUAAUUAUAAAAUGAGUGAUAGUUUUUAGUAUUUGGAAUUUAAUGAGUUUUAAACGAAUAUGUAUUUCUUAUAAGAAGACAAUAGCAUUGGCCUGUUGCAUUGGACAUGUAAGCUAUUUUAAUAAGACAAGAGGAGUGAGCAGGUGAAACUGUUGUUGCCGCCUUUGUGUCUGUCGGGAUUGUCUCUUGUAUCUUCUGUUGUGACUGUGUUUGUUUAUCUUUUAUUUGAUGGAUAAUACGUAAACAAAAAUCAUUAUUAGUUAUAUUUAUCAGAGUUCAUAACUUACUGUGCUUUUUUUUGUUUAAGUAAUUUCAUUGAUAAUCUUGGUUGUCGUCUUCGUCUUCUUCGUUGCGAAAGUAAGUUUUUAAAUUGUUAAAUAGCUGGCCAUGUAGUUUGUAUUUGUUUAGCUGACUCGAUGUAUGUGUUGUUGCGAAAGUAAGUUUGUAAAUUGUUAAAUAGCUGGUCGUGUAGUUUGUAUUUGUUUAGCUGACUCGAUGUAUGUGACGUUGAGUUUUAGUUGAGGUGAUUGGUUUGGUAUAUUUGUUUUGAAGUAUAUUUCUAAGAUUGGACAAAAAAGAGAGGUGAUCAUUAAUGAUUUGUCUUUUUUGGAAUUAUAGUUUUUGGUGUUUUGAUUGCUUGGGUUGUUGUGGUUUCUUUUAAUCUGUAAAAUUAAGGGUUGUGUAAAAUUAGUUUGAUAAGUAAGGGAGAUAAAUAGACGACCACGGAAUUUGGGUAGGAAAUAUUUUUGAUUAUUGAUGUUAGCACAAUAUAGAUAAUAAUAUAAUUGUGUGUUGAUUGUUUCUUACAGAUCAAUGAGAAGACAAAUAACGACUCGAGUUGUUUCUUUGCUAAAGGUCAGAGCCUUGCACGGAACGGAUUUUCCCAACCGCAUCUGCGAGUUUUAAUAUUAGUUAUGAUAAGAAUAUCUUCAAUGGUACAC
rnacentral:lncRNA from 1 species